GUGUAAAUCACCUGGGGAUCUUGUUAAAAUGCAGAUUUUGAAGCACUUGGUCUUUACUGGGGCCUUAGAUUUUGUAUUUCUAACAAGUUCCCAGGAAAUUCCAGU
rnacentral:pre_miRNA from 1 species